UGAAGUAGUUGCCAAAAAUAAGUAGGAAUCUGCCCAAAUGCACAGGUUUUCCUGAAGAGCCCCUGCGGAGCCUGAAGAGCUGGAGAGGACGGUGCGGAGGUUCGGAGGCGCACCGUGAUGGUGGGAGCCAGUCCCGGGCAGCCACGCCGCUUGUGGGGGGUGCCCGGCUGGCAGGGGUCUUCAGCUAGUUGUGCCAACGACUCUGCGCUGCAGGACGGGGAGCCCCGCGUGGAGCAGAGUGGGGUCCUGCUGCAGAGGGAUGCUGCGCUGCAGUGCACCCC